CUCGUACCCGUAAACUGGAACCGGGGUAUCUUAACCUCUGUAUUAUCGCUCCGUCACACGAUUAGUCGGAGUUUUAGAGGGUUUUAGUACCGUUAAAGAGGUAAUUCGAUUGAAACCAUGACCAUGGGUCAAUCGUAGUAUUUCAUGGCCAUGCAUGCACUUGGGUAUUGACGAAUUACCUAACUGAGUCACUAAUUAUAUUAUUGUUGUUCUCGAGUACAUUCACACUUCCGGAGAAGUGGAAAUGAGCAAAAUCUGCUCCGAAACGAGGUAAACAUGCAAGCUAUAGUAAUAAAGUAAUAUACGAGAGGUCAGGAAAACUGUUACGGUCACAAUUACGUCAAAGGGAAGAGGCGUGGGCCAGUGGAACGACAAAGUAACGGCCACGAACGAUGCUCAUCCAUCGCGAUCACAUCGACAGGGGCGAAACGAUGCCAAACCGACGGAAAACGAGACGGUUCGAACGAAACGCGGAAUAAACGCGCGUCAGAUGGACGACAACAAAACGUACUACUAGGGGCAACGAUGUCUCGCGAUUUCUGUUGCAGCACAACAAUGUACAGCACACAAGGGAUUGAGGAUUACACCCAACCAGCCAACAGAAGAGUGAGGUGGGAGGGAAGCGUUUCUAGUUACUAAGCAUGGGAAUCAAAGGGCUGGGCUUUAUAAGGUAGGGAUGCCAACCUCAAUAGCAUACCCCAAGCUAUAGGGUUCAGACACCCUAAACCGUCACAGACCACUCCGCUCAAUUCUUAAUAUCAUUUAUUUCAUGAAUCCAUUUUAUACGAUGUCCCACGCGAUAGCUAGGGCAAGUCGUUGGCGAGCCAAUAAAUUUCAUAAAAACAUCAUUUUCAUUGUCCCUUGGGACAUCGCAUUAAGUGUUUUUCCGCGUUUGACAUCAUUAUAAGAAAGGUCUAUUGUACGUGAUAACUAAACGAUAAAACGACUUAGGAAUUAGUAACGUCAGUUUAUUAAAAAAUGUUUCAACUCAGAACUCUCAUGUACGUUGGACGAAACCAAAUUAAAGUUUCAACUUAACAGUUUAUUCAUUCA